rnacentral:rRNA from 1 species
UACGGAGGGUGCAAGCGUUGUCCGGAAUCACUGGGCGUAAAGGGCGCGUAGGCGGCUCAUGAAGGCUGUGGUGAAAGUCCGGGGCUCAACCUCGGAUCGGCCGUGGCGACUCGUGGGCUGGAGCACGGUAGAGGCGGGUGGAAUUCCGGGUGUAGCGGUGGAAUGCGUAGAGAUCCGGAAGAACACCAGUGGCGAAGGCGGCCCGCUGGGCAGUGGCUGACGCUGAGGCGCGACAGCGUGGGGAGCAAACAGG